rnacentral:rRNA from 1 species
AGCCCAGAGCCUGAAUCAGUGUGUGUGUUAGUGGAAGCGUCUGGAAAGGCGCGCGAUACAGGGUGACAGCCCCGUACACAAAAAUACACAUAUUGUGAGCUCGAUGAGUAGGGCGGGACACGUGGUAUCCUGUCUGAAUAUGGGGGGACCAUCCUCCAAGGCUAAAUACUCCUGACUGACCGAUAGUGAACCAGUACCGUGAGGGAAAGGCGAAAAGAACCCCGGCGAGGGGAGUGAAAAAGAACCUGAAACCGUGUACGUACAAGCAGUGGGAGCACGCUUAGGCGUGUGACUGCGUACCUUUUGUAUAAUGGGUCAGCGACUUAUAUUCUGUAGCAAGGUUAACCGAAUAGGGGAGCCGAAGGGAAACCGAGUCUUAACUGGGCGUUAAGUUGCAGGGUAUAGACCCGAAACCCGGUGAUCUAGCCAUGGGCAGGUUGAAGGUUGGGUAACACUAACUGGAGGACCGAACCGACUAAUGUUGAAAAAUUAGCGGAUGACUUGUGGCUGGGGGUGAAAGGCCAAUCAAACCGGGAGAUAGCUGGUUCUCCCCGAAAGCUAUUUAGGUAGCGCCUCGUGAAUUCAUCUCCGGGGGUAGAGCACUGUUUCGGCAAGGGGGUCAUCCCGACUUACCAACCCGAUGCAAACUGCGAAUACCGGAGAAUGUUAUCACGGGAGACACACGGCGGGUGCUAACGUCCGUCGUGAAGAGGGAAACAACCCAGACCGCCAGCUAAGGUCCCAAAGUCAUGGUUAA